AUUGAUCAAGCUUGGUUUGCUUAGUACUGACUUGCUAGAGUUGAUUAUGGGGGAACUUUGCCAAAAUAAGGUUGCUUCACUGAGAAGUAAAUUAUAGGAAAAGUCCAAAAAGAUUGCUCUGUAGCAUCUUGGUUGCUUCUCUAGCAGAUAUAUUUAUUUCUAAAGCACAGUGCAUUAAAUGUACUAAAAAGCAAAAGUUGUAUGGUUCAAUCAUUACCUAAUUCUGCAUUCUUUUAUUAUCAUUGUUUUACCAUAGACAAGAGAAGGAAGCAUCUCUCAUCUCCUAACUAAAGCCUCUUGAACCCCCCAAAUCUAAUUGCACUUAGUUUUUCCUUUUAAUAGUCAGUAGUAACUUUAUCCUCCCAAAUGGCUCUGCCAGAAAUCUGGUUGUCAUCCUUGAAAAUUCCAUAUCUCUACUAAGGGUUGAUAUUUCUGGAUUACUAUGAAAACCUCACUGUCUAUUCUAUAUCUAAACUUGCCCCUUCAAUCAAAUUUCCAAUAGUUAUAAGAGUGUCAACUUACAAGGGACAUGAUAUUAUGUCAUUUCUCUGCUUAAAAUCUUCUAGUGG
rnacentral:lncRNA from 1 species